GAUGAACGCUGGCGGCGUGCCUAAUACAUGCAAGUCGAGCGAACAGACGAGGAGCUUGCUCCUCUGACGUUAGCGGCGGACGGGUGAGUAACACGUGGAUAACCUACCUAUAAGACUGGGAUAACUUCGGGAAACCGGAGCUAAUACCGGAUAAUAUAUUGAACCGCAUGGUUCAAUAGUGAAAGACGGUUUUGCUGUCACUUAUAGAUGGAUCCGCGCCGCAUUAGCUAGUUGGUAAGGUAACGGCUUACCAAGGCGACGAUGCGUAGCCGACCUGAGAGGGUGAUCGGCCACACUGGAACUGAGACACGGUCCAGACUCCUACGGGAGGCAGCAGUAGGGAAUCUUCCGCAAUGGGCGAAAGCCUGACGGAGCAACGCCGCGUGAGUGAUGAAGGUCUUCGGAUCGUAAAACUCUGUUAUUAGGGAAGAACGAAUGUGUAAGUAACUAUGCAUGUCUUGACGGUACCUAAUCAGAAAGCCACGGCUAACUACGUG
rnacentral:rRNA from 1 species